AGUGAAGCGGUCGGACCCCGGGCGAGCGCACGGACGCGCGGCGGGCGCCUCGGGCAGUUGACUUGGCUGGAGCUAAGACCUUGAGCGGCCAUUGUGAAGUUGGGUGACACGUUUCUCUACAAGAAUCUGCAAAAGAGUCCAAGCCACUCUGCUGUGAGACUUCUCUCCAGGAGUUCCGGUGCCAGAGUAGAAGGUGUUUUCCCAGUGUCUAGAGAGAAGCGACGAGCGGGAUCCGAGACUGGUGAAAGCAGCUCCUGAAGGUGCGUCCGCCUUGCUUGACGGUUCAUCAGCAUAGCACAGCUGCUCAUUCAGUGAGAAAAACAGCAGCCACAGGCCGUGGUGCUGUCCCCAAGGCAUUGUCUACACACCUUGAGACUGAAGGGAAGCGCU